AAAAUUAUGUAAUGCUUGGAAUGAAACUUGAAGAUAGUAAUUUGGAUCUGUUUAUUAUUGUUAUUAUAAUGUUAGGGAAAUUCAUAGAUGUAAAUACAUGAGAUUGCAUAUUUUCCAGUUUUUAAGGCAGAAUUGUCUUUGUAUGUUUUCAGUGGUCUUCAACCUUUUUGAGCACAAGAUCACUUUGGAAGUCAAAAUUUGAACCAAGAUCUACCACAUUAUAUGUUGCAAAAAGAAACAAAAAGCCGACCAAGAGUAAUGCCAUGUUGCUUGACUAACAGUAAAGCAGUACUGGAUUCACUAAUCACAGGGACAUACUAAUACAGUUCAAAUAACACUAGCCAACAAUAGGAACAGAAACAUGUUAAGACUGUUAAUACAACAUGCACAGCUACACAGUUACAGCAACACACUGUUAAUUAAUGUUAUUCUUGAGGUACACCCCACCCAUACAGUUGCACACCACUAAUUAAAUAUGUAGCAGUGUUUGAAUCUAGCCAACCAGCAAAUAUUUUACCGCUGCAUGUUUUUUAAUGUGUUGCAAUCAUUGAGGUUACUGGUAGUCCGGCCUCUGGUUUGUGGAUGACAGCUUCUGGGUCUGUGAGAGGUGACAACAGAGCUGGGUUUGAGGCACAUGUCUGUAGCCUAGUCAGGAGUGGGGUUAGUGAAAAAGACUUUUGAUGUGUUUCAAAAACUAUGAUUUCUUUGAAGACCCCUAGCUAUCUUUUCCAACCGCUGUUAUUUUAUUUUUCUUUGUAAUUGUUCUUUGUGUUGUUUGGUGCUCAAUUUACAAAAACAAAACAAAAGAAUGUGGAACACUGAAGGAGUGCCAGCUAGAAUGGAACAGGAUGACAUGGAUUGGAAUCUGGAGUGGACUCUCCUGCAUACACUGAAGAACACACACACACACACACACACACACACAUACAAAUGUAUGUAGAGCAGAAGUGAGGACACUGAAGGAGAGAUAGGCAACAUACUGCACUGUAUCAAGGAAGAUGAAGAGUGGGAGAGAAAGAGUGCACUUCUCAAUAAACUAUCUUAUUUAAACUAUUCCUAUCUAAGGAAUCUUCUUAACUACACUGUAUGAAAGUUAAUAUGGCUAUAGAAUAUGUAAAUCAAAAAAAAAAAAAAAAGCUUUCACUUUGCUGCUGUGUCAUUUUCGCUGUGACCCACUUCAAAAUUUAGGCACAAUUUAACAGUAAGCCAUACAGCUAACACUGAGCAAGGAGCAACUGCCUAUUAGUCUAAAAAUUACUCCAGUUGCUUGUCAACAUGUGUUGACAUGUUUCUUCACUUACUCUGUUAAUGCAUCUUAGUUUCCACAAACAAUAUUCUGAACAGGCUUGUGGGCUUAUUAGUAUAGGUUGUAUUCAAAAAACUAAUGACGUUGUGGGUUUGGUAUAAGCGAGGUUGUGUUCUAAUUCAACCUACAUUUUUGUACUAGGAAUAUUAUUUUUGCGAGACAGACGGCUAUAAGAAAAGAAAUGGAGAAGAACACUGGGUAACCUUCCUCAUAUGCAAGAAGAGAAGAUGCAAGAAGAAAAUGUUUCUCUUGUUUAACAGUGGUUUUCGCUUUACACCUCUCCCAUGGAUACUAUUUUUGCCAUGUCACUUUUCAAUGGUAGAUUCAUGAACACUACCCUUAUCUGCGCUUUAGCAAAGCGUGUAGCUCAUUAGAUGUCGUUCUACGUUCUUUUGUGACUAUGAUGAGUUGUCAAUGCACUCUUGAAAGAAUUUUUAUUAGUCUGGGCACACAAGAUCCCGGGAGUUUCUUGCCUGUGUCAGCGUUUAAACCAUAUUGUUUCUUUCUUUUAUAAUCAAUAAUUUUGCGCCAUCAUUUUCAUCUGCCGUAUUUUUUCGAAGAACGCUUUUGUUUUUUGUCAAGACAGCGAGCGGAGGCCGUCCACGCCGUCUAAAGUAAUAUCAACAAAUCUUCGACUAAGGUAAAGGAGCAGGUCUGGAGGUUUCACAGGCAUAGAGUGUUGUGGUGAACUGGGAUGUUUGUUGCCCCCCCACGUGUUCACUCAGGUUUGUCAAUGGUGGAGUAUGUCCUAGGGCGCCCUCAUGUCUGUCUCUCCCUUUUAGUUAUGCUGUCACAGCUAGUCUUGCCAGAGUCCCUGCUUGCACUCUGCAUGCAAAGUACAUUGUCCUUCACCAUUAUGGGACAAAAGCUUAUCUAACAAUCUCUCUCUCUCUCUCUCUUUCUCUCUCUCUCUCUGUUGAGCUACACAUGCUACUCCUGAGAUACCAGUGAUCCUGCUCUCCGGACCUGCCUGAUCCAUCCUGAUGCCCUAUUUCUGGUUGGAGUUCUUGUUAGUUGAGAUCGCGCACUGCUGCUGGGGGUGGCCCCACAAGGACAGCCUGAAGAUCAUUGGGAUUGCUGGGGAUGGUGCCACUUGGGGGCCAUGAAGUUGGCUUGGGGAUCUCUUGUGAUGCAGACUUGAGCACACUGAACUCGCUUGAAGUCCCAGAAGUCACUGCGGCAAAACAAUGGCAGAUGGUGGAAGCCUGACACAUAACUGGAGCACUGAAGAGAGGAGGACCCUUAUCCAGUGGAGAGGGGUGAAUGAGGCCCUCUUCAUUGGAAAGAGAAACUCCUCCAAGUCUGGCUGGGAAUAAGGUUUUUGUGAAGAACAGCUGCCACUUGCCAGUGAUAUGCCGACAUGGAUGCUGUGCUCCAGGGGCAGUAUUCUAUUAGUCUGCCCCUGGUAGUAGCAGCAAAUGUGUCUGCCAGUAUAUCGUUUAUAUAUAAACUAUAAUCAUGGUAUUGCAGGCACGCAGGCAGCUCCUCAGAGGCUGACAGUUGUGCUGCAAGUCUGGCCCAGAUGUUGUUGCCAUUUUGCUCCAGAUUCCCCUCCAUGUUUUCCUCAUCCUCAUCCUGAAAAUUAUCUUCUUCCUCCAGGAUGUCAUCAGUGGACCGACAAAAGGUUGUGUAGCAUGCAGCAUGCAGAAAAUAGGGGGCGGAUCUCCAGGGCCCCAAAAACGAUAGCCCUACAGCAGGUUCUUAGUGUGCCAAAGGUGCACUCAUUGAUGAAUCUGGCCUUGGCAUGGUGCUUGUUAAAGCGACCUUCAACACGACCUUGUAGGAGGAACCAUAGCCCGUGACAAUAGGUCAAGAUGUCUUCACCACUUACAAAAAGCUUUAUCUGCCAAAUGUUUAGUGAUAAUGCAAUAACAAUGAAGAAGUUACAGUGGUAGCACUAUAUUUCUAGUAAUUAAAAAAGAAAUAAACUAUAAAAGUAAUGAUAUAAAUAAACAGACAUUUUCACCAGUCACAGGCUGCCUGUAUGGGGUGAUUAUGGCCACAGGAUGCAGCAGACAGUAGUCCUCAUCUCCAAGAAGAAAGUAGCUUUUUGCAGGGAAAAGGGAUUCCUUGUACAUUGGGCAUCUUUCAAGGACCAGAGCAUCAUUGCCUACAUAGAUGUAAUAAAGUUCAGUCUUGAUAACUGGGUUAAAAGGUGUGAUCACUGUGGGGGUGUCGAUUAGAAUGCACUGGUUCCCAUUUUACUUCUUUAUUUCAGAAUUCGUCUUAACAUGUGGAUCAAGGUGUGGUAACUAUAGAAAAAAAUAACAAUAUUGAAAUCACAGCUGUAAUUAUAUAAAGAACAUUAAGCACUAAUAUGCCUUUACUGCAAUUAAAACAGGCAGAAUUAUGCUCCUUAACACAUGAUUUAAACAUGUUAAUGCAAUACUCUAGUUAUUUAUUCCUGUCAUUGCCAACAUCCUUGCAAGAUUUUACAAUUACAUGAAUUGAUCACACUCACUUUACAUAAUUCAAUCUAGUAAUUGGAAACUUGUUUAAAUUAAGUUUAGUAUAAGCAAUGAAAUCACUUUUUUGAUGAGAAGCAUUUUUGAUGAGAAACAGAUUUUUAGUUGGAUUCAGGUCUGAGCCCUGGCUAGGUCAUUCAAAAACUUUGUUGAUUUGGAUGUAUGCAUUACGUCAUUAUUGUCGUACUGAAAAGUGAAAUUCCUUUUCAUCUUCAGCUUACUAGCAGACACCUGAAUGUUUUGCACUAAAAUCGACUGGUCUUUCUGUUCAUGAUUCCUUUGGAAAAAAAAGCCUCAGUUGUGGCUGAAGAAAAGCAACCCUAAAGCAUGACUCUGCCCCCACCAUGGUGCACCAUGGGUAUGGUGUUGGUAAUGUGCUUUUUUUGCACCAAACAUAUAUUUUGGAAUUAUGGAAUGAUUAUACCUUUUUGGAAUUGAUCUCAUCAGACCAUUACACAUUUUGCCACAUGGAUUAGGGUGAUUUAAUUGAGCUUGGAUGUUUUUUUUUUUUCCUUCCUUGAGAAAGGGCUUCAAGAUUUUGGAAUUUUAAUACACUCACUCUACAUAAUUCAAACUAGUAAUUGGAAAAUUGUUUAAAUUCAGUUGAAUAUAAGCAAUUAAAUUACAUUUUGAUGAGAAAUAUAAUUUUUUAUGUAAACUAUAUGUAAUAUGUUCUCUUAAAUCUGAACAAUGUUUCCUUUUUUCAGUGUAUAAAUAGAAGUAUUGAGUUUUAUGUAUGACCACCCAUUUUUGUUAUUCCUAUAAUUCUGUUGUUAUUAUGUUUGAACAUUUUUAGUAAAUUAAGUUGAAGGUUUUCAAUAAUUAUUUGCUGAGAUAGACAAAA